rnacentral:rRNA from 1 species
AGAGUUUGAUCCUGGCUCAGGACGAACGCUGGCGGCGCGCCUAACACAUGCAAGUCGAACGAGAGAUGAGGAGCUUGCUCUUCAAAUCGAGUGGCGAACGGGUGAGUAACGCGUGAGGAACCUGCCUCAAAGAGGGGGACAACAGUUGGAAACGACUGCUAAUACCGCAUAAGCCCACAGGUCGGCAUCGACCAGAGGGAAAAGGAGCAAUCCGCUUUGAGAUGGCCUCGCGUCCGAUUAGCUAGUUGGUGAGGUAACGGCCCACCAAGGCGACGAUCGGUAGCCGGACUGAGAGGUUGAACGGCCACAUUGGGACUGAGACACGGCCCAGACUCCUACGGGAGGCAGCAGUGGGGAAUAUUGCACAAUGGGGGAAACCCUGAUGCAGCGACGCCGCGUGGAGGAAGAAGGUCUUCGGAUUGUAAACUCCUGUUGUUGAGGAAGAUAAUGACGGUACUCAACAAGGAAGUGACGGCUAACUACGUGCCAGCAGCCGCGGUAAAACGUAGGUCACAAGCGUUGUCCGGAAUUACUGGGUGUAAAGGGAGCGCAGGCGGGAGAACAAGUUGGAAGUGAAAUCCAUGGGCUCAACCCAUGAACUGCUUUCAAAACUGUUUUUCUUGAGUAGUGCAGAGGUAGGCGGAAUUCCCGGUGUAGCGGUGGAAUGCGUAGAUAUCGGGAGGAACACCAGUGGCGAAGGCGGCCUACUGGGCACCAACUGACGCUGAGGCUCGAAAGUGUGGGUAGCAAACAGGAUUAGAUACCCUGGUAGUCCACACCGUAAACGAUGAUUACUAGGUGUUGGAGGAUUGACCCCUUCAGUGCCGCAGUUAACACAAUAAGUAAUCCACCUGGGGAGUACGACCGCAAGGUUGAAACUCAAAGGAAUUGACGGGGGCCCGCACAAGCAGUGGAGUAU